rnacentral:rRNA from 1 species
CAUUGGGGCGCAGCAGGCGAGAAAACUUUGCAAUGUGCGAAAGCACGACAAGGUUAAUCCGAGUGGUUUCUGCUAAAGAAACCUUUUGUCAGUCCUAGAUACACUGAUGAAUAAGGGGUGGGCAAGUUCUGGUGUCAGCCGCCGCGGUAAAACCAGCACCUCAAGUGGUCAGGAUGAUUAUUGGGCCUAAAGCAUCCGUAGCCGGCUCUGUAAGUUUUCGGUUAAAUCUGUACGCUCAACGUACAGGCUGCCGGGAAUACUGCAGAGCUAGGGAGUGGGAGAGGUAGACGGUACUCGGUAGGAAGGGGUAAAAUCCUUUGAUCUAUUGAUGACCACCUGUGGCGAAGGCGGUCUACCAGAACACGUCCGACGGUGAGGGAUGAAAGCUGGGGGAGCAAACCGGAUUAGAUACCCGGGUAGUCCCAGCUGUAAACUAUGCAAACUCAGUGAUGCAUUGGCUUGUGGCCAAUGCAGUGCUGCAGGGAAGCCGUUAAGUUUGCCGCCUGGGAAGUACGUACGCAAGUAUGAAACUCAAAUGAA